GCCAUAAAAAAACUGCUCCAACAUUACCCCUCUGAGCAUGGAUUUAACGGAUAUGUUUGGUCAUAAAUGCCUAAAAUGAUGUUGAUUGGACAAACUCUACCCAUGUGACCUCUCGUGUAUACUGUUGCCAGAUUGGGGCAACAAAAUGCAAACAAAUAUGGACUAUUAUGGAAUAUUAACUCUGCUUGGCAAUAUUAACUUAAUACUUGUUUCUUGUCAAAGUUUAGUUCUACUGUAUUUAUGUAGGCUGUGGCCACUUUAUAAGAAAAAAAACAUAAUUAUAGUGACAUUUAAGCGCAUAUCUUCUUAAAACCUUUCUACUAAAUGAAAAUGAUAAAGUAUCUUUAUGACAAUUUUAGUUACCUUUUAAUCGCUCAAAUCUGGCAACCCUGUGUAUGGAUUCUAGCUAAUAGAUGUCACAGAGGGCGUUGCUGGCAUCGUUGGGAAACCUCUGCUAGCUGACAAAGUUAGCUAACGCUAACUCGUACAGGAUGCUGGGUACCGUUUUAAUGGUAGCCAGGCACCUCACAGCUUGGUAAAACGAACGGAUACUGUCGUGACUGUUACUUCAGUGCGGAACUAUAACACAAAAGGCCAAAGGAAGCAUGAGGCGCUCAACAAAAUUCUCAUGGAGGACUUACCAUACAAAGAUUUUUGAAAUUCCACCAGGAAGAUGAUGGUCACCACUCCCAUCAGUACCCAGGAGAAGAUGAAGCUAAAUCCAACACCGCUGUGGAGGAGAACAGACAGGCCCUCAGACAGCUUUUAUUGGUCUGAAUGUGCUGCAGGGUCUCCAAGAAUGUGGAGGCCAUCUGCGACAAGCUGCCAAGCAAAUUUAAGUGAGCCUGUGUCCACAGUGGAUGUCGGUCACCUUUAACCAUCAUGUACUCUGCAGCAUACGUAAGGAUGGAAAAUGCUGUGUGCACGAGGUAAUCUGCUAACAGUGCUCCCUGUCUUUCUGAUCUAUGGCCUCAUCCAACCCGAGGGCAGACACAGGAUACCGAAGGUGCAGCCCCGAGGUGCACUGUGAUUGGUGGAGCAGCGAUCAGAAGUUCCUGAUAUUGACCAAACUGAAGCUCAUCUCAGUCUUCAGCAGCAUAAGGACCUUAGCCCUCUGAGGACCUGUUGAAAGAUUUACUCUACCUGACCUCACCCCCUCAACAGAUACUGUGCAGCUCAGCCUCAGGACAGGUGAGGUCAUCUGUAUAAACCUCAGCUUCUUGGCAGUAAUACAAACAAUCCUCCUCCUGGUUUCUGUUAUCAGUGUAAAGAACAGUAAUCCUCUCAUUUGCUUCCAGCAGCAGAAAAUAUACAGGUUCAUAUACACUCACUGGCCACUUUA